rnacentral:rRNA from 1 species
GGAAGUAAAAGUCGUAACAAGGUUUCCGUAGGUGAACCUGCGGAAGGAUCAUUACUGAUUUAGCGAACCGAGCGUUAGCGAGGUUUUGCGAUCAACUUGUAUUUAAAACCCACUCUUCAAUGUAUAAAAUUUGUAUUAAUGAUAAAUUAAAAGAUCACUUUCAACAACGGAUCUCUUGGCUCUCGCAUCGAUGAAGAACGUAGCGAAGUGCGAUAAGUAAUGUGAAUUGCAGUAUCCCGUGAAUCAUCGAACCUUUGAACGCAUAUUGCACUUUCUGGUAUUCCGGAAAGUAUGCCUGUUUGAGGGUCAGUUAAAUAAAAAUCGGUGUUGUUGCCGCUUUCCGUGGUGACGCGUCGGAAUUGAGUCGUCUUCGGUUAAGUGACUUAAAAUUUUAUAUGAUUUUCGAACGUAUUUAAAUUUAUUUGAACGUUUGAUAUCGAAUGCUUAUUAGGUUCGGUCAUCCUCAUGACUCGCGCCUAUAAUUUUUCAUUAAAUGACCUCAAAUCAGGUAAGAAUACCCGCUGAACUUAAGCAUAUCAAUAAGCGGAGGA